GGAGUCUGAUCGCUGACAGUGAGUCUUCAACAGGUUUCACAGCUUUGUUCUUGUUGCUGGUUUCUCUCUCAGCCUGACUGAAGAUGAGUGAUGUGGGUGAAGAGGAGGACGGAGCAGAGUCUGUGGACAGGGAAGAGACGCCAGCUGCUCCUGCAGAGUCCAGGCUCAGACACACAGCAGAGUCUUCAGGAUCCAGCAGGUUGUCUCUGAAGAGUGACUGGUCCAAUGAUAUUCCACCAAACUUCAGUGGUGAAGCUGGACCUUCAGACACAAAAGAGAAGAAGAGCAGUGAUGUCUGUGAGGAGCAGCAGGACCAGG